rnacentral:rRNA from 1 species
UGGGGGAUAUUGCACAAUGGGGGAAACCCUGAUGCAGCGACGCCGCGUGGGUGAAGAAGCGCCUCGGCGCGUAAAGCCCUGUCAGCAGGGAAGAAAAUGACGGUACCUGAAGAAGAAGCCCCGGCUAACUACGUGCC